GACGAACGCUGGCGGCGUGCUUAACACAUGCAAGUCGAACGGAAAGGCCUCUUUCGGCUGGUCUUCGAGUGGCGAACGGGUGGGUAACACGUGAGUACCCUGCCCUUUACUUUGGGGUAAGUUCAGGCAAAUGGGGCUAAUACCGGAUAGGAGCUCCAGCUGCCGGGUGGGGGUUGGAAAGUUUCGGCGGUUGGGGGUGGACUCGCGGCUUAUCCGCUUGUUGGUGGGGGAGGGGCUUACGACGGCUUUGACGGGUAGCCGGCCUGGGAGGGUGACCGGCCACAUUGGUACUGCGAUACGGCCCAGACUCGUACGGGAGGCAGCAGUGGGGAAUAUUGCCCAAUGGGUCGACGCCUGAUGCAGCAACGCCGGGUUCGGGAUGACGGCCUUCGGGUUGUAAACCGCUUUCGCCUGUGACGAAGCGUGAGUGACGGUACCGGGUAAAGAAGCACCGGCUAACUACGUG
rnacentral:rRNA from 1 species